AAAUCCUCCUCGUGUGUGGUUAUCCCUAAUUCACUACCAUUUAGGGUGUAAAUUGCUUGUUCAUUUUUAACCCCCGAAGUGCAUAACUUUGCAUUUCUCUACGUUAAAUUUCAUCUGCCAUUUUAGUGCCCAGUCCCCCAAUCUAUCCAAAUCCCUCUGCAGCAAAGCAAUAUCCUGCUCACAUUUUAUUACUUUACAAAGUUUUGUGUCAUCUGCAAACACUGAUACAUGGCUUUCAAUGCCUAUUUCAAGAUCAUUUAUAAAUAUGUUAAAUAAAAG